rnacentral:piRNA from 1 species
UAAAAGGGGGAAACAAGAGAUUGCGUG